AGCGAACGCUGGCGGCAGGCUUAACACAUGCAAGUCGAACGCCCCGCAAGGGGAGUGGCAGACGGGUGAGUAACACGUGGGAACGUACCCUUUGGUUCGGAAUAACUUGGGGAAACUCAAGCUAAUACCGGAUAAGCCCUUAUGGGGAAAGGUUUACUGCCGAAGGAUCGGCCCGCGUCUGAUUAGCUAGUUGGUGAGGUAACGGCUCACCAAGGCGACGAUCAGUAGCUGGUCUGAGAGGAUGAUCAGCCACACUGGGACUGAGACACGGCCGAGACUCCUACGGGAGGCAGCAGUGGGGAAUAUUGGACAAUGGGGGCGACCCUGAUCCAGCCAUGCCGCGUGAGUGAUGAAGGCCUUAGGGUUGUAAAGCUCUUUUACCCGGGACGAUAAUGACUGUACCGGGAGAAUAAGCCCCGGCUAACUUCGCGCCAGCAGCCGCGGUAA
rnacentral:rRNA from 1 species